CCUACGGGUGGCAGCAGUGAGGAAUAUUGGUCAAUGGGCGGGAGCCUGAACCAGCCAAGUCGCGUGAGGGACGACGGUCCUAUGGAUUGUAAACCUCUUUUGUCGGGGAACAAAGGCGCCCACGGGUGGGCGGAUGAGUGUACCCGAAGAAAAAGCAUCGGCUAACUCCGUGCCAGCAGCCGCGGUAAUACGGAGGAUGCGAGCGUUAUCCGGAUUUAUUGGGUUUAAAGGGUGCGUAGGCGGGCUGUUAAGUCAGCGGUCAAAUGUCGGGGCUCAACCCCGGCCUGCCGUUGAAACUGGCGGCCUUGAGUGGGCGAGAAGUAUGCGGAAUGCGUGGUGUAGCGGUGAAAUGCAUAGAUAUCACGCAGAACUCCGAUUGCGAAGGCAGCAUACCGGCGCCCGACUGACGCUGAGGCACGAAAGCGUGGGUAUCGAACAGGAUUAGAUACCCCAGUAGUC
rnacentral:rRNA from 1 species